AGCUUUGCACAGUGGCAGUAUCAUUGCCCAUGAGGUUUAUCCGAGGCACAAUUAUUGCUAAUUGAAAACUUUUUAUAGUUUGU
ensembl:snRNA U4 U4 spliceosomal RNA